GGGGGGGGGGGGGGGCAGCGGUGGCAGCGCAGAAGGCGGAGGAGUGUGACGAGGGACCUAACACAAUCGUGAUCUGUAUGGUCAUCUUACUGAAUAUUGGUCUGGCCAUCCUAUUUGUACAUUUUUUGACAUGAUGAGCCUCUUGAACAAGGCAUUGCUGCUGGUGGAGACCUCAGACCUUGGCGGGGAUUAAAGUUCAGCCACCUGGAAACACCUAAGAGGAGGACUUGAGAUCCCAAGGUUGCACUGCAAACAUCAACCUUAGAUGAGUGUCUGAAGAUCAGUUUCCUGCUCCCAGGCUGUGGCUGGCCUCUGCAGUCUACCAAGGAAAAGCCAGGGUUUCUGCACCGUGGUCUCCUCUUCUUUGUAUAAAAUAGCAGUUGCCUUAAAUUAUUCUCACCAAAGCCAUCAACUGUCCUGCCAUGCCAGGGAUGAGGGAUUUAUCUGUAGCUGUAGGAAAAGGAGUGAGAAGGUCUCAUGUGUGCACACUGAUGUGUUUUUAUUCCCUUGGUUGACUCGGUGUCAGAAAUUUUCCAAAGAUUGUCAUCCAUGGCACGGACAUGAAGCAAUACAGAACCAGAAUGACUCAUGAAAGCCGCGCCUCGGGGCGGACAACACUGCUCUCCAUGCUUGGAAGUCAUCCAAAGGGAUGAACAAAAAGUCUUUCCCCUGUCACCUGGCAUCAUUUUCCAUGUAUGGAGGACUGAGAGGGGGAGCAAGUUGAAAUUGGGCUUGUUGAAGUGGGACCCGAGUCCUGCCCGUGGCGGCCGAUGUACCACGGAUGGGGCUGCGGGGUGGGAUGUGAGGGACUGGUGGAUCCAAGGCUGUUGGUGAUUGUGGGGGUGCUCUGGGUAGAGAUGGGGCCUCUUUUGGGACCAGGCACCAUCCAAGCCCUCUCCUGCCACCAACAAUGCUCUGCACAGAAGCGUCUUGCAGUGGGUGGCUUCCCGCUGUAAGGGGGAAGGCAGUAGGUGUGCUGAAUUUGUCCCUUUACCUCUUUUUUUCUAUGAAAAUGUUGUGAGUUACAGUGAAAAGGAGGUUCUUGCUGAAAAUGCCUCCAUACACCUGCAGGUUCCUCCCCUUGGUGUGCCAGGCUGCAAGAGGGUUCUGGCUUCUCAUUGCACCCAACAAACUGAUUUUCCAGCCAGAGGAUGCAGGGUGGCAGGGAGAGGUUGCCUUACUCCUGAAAGAAAAAAGGUGCAGAGGUGUGAGUGACUGCAGUGUAUUUGGGUGUUGGGCUCAGAAAUAUGCAGCAGCCAGGCUUUGAGCAGUGGCAGAGUACAGUGGGGCAGUUGUAGCUGUUGCUCGUGUGUGCGAGGCUGAGAGGCCUGAGCGAUUUGCACCCAUUUUUCCAAAGCUGCCACAGGGAGUGACCUUUGGAAGGAGAUUUUUCCACCAUGAUCUGCUCUGAUCCUUCGCAGUGCGAGCUUAGAAAGUCAACACAGAUGAAGUUACAGUUUAGUGUGAGGCUGAGUGCUUGGACAUGUUUCUUCCUUCUUUAAGAGCAAUGUGUAUUUUCUAUCCCUUUUUAAGAUAAUCAGAGAUGUUAUUUAUAGUUGGUUGUGCACCUCUGUGUAUCCUGAAGUCCCACAGCACAGGACUGGGUAGGAAAACCUUGUUGGACUGGAAAGAGUGGGAAAAUGAUAGUUAAGGAAAAAAACAGAUGCCCAGUCUGCUUCAAAGGUCAAUCUGAAAGGAUUUCAGAGACGGAGUGGCAGACACACAGGGAAUUACACUCACGGGAGACACGGGGCAAAACCUGCCUAAUUUAACUACUCUAGUUACGGCAUAAGAGAGUGAGAAUAAUUCAAUACUUUUUUGUGAACCAAGUCUAUUUUUUAGCCUUAUCAGCUCAGGAACAUUGCUACAGUAGCAAAUAUGUGGUAUUAAGUGUGGGGAAGUGAAUGUGAUCCUUUCCUAAAAGCCAUGUGGCUGUACCAGUCCUGAGAAAGCUGUGCAGCAUCAUCUACACUUCCAUAGAGCAUAGUUUAGUAGCAAUUUGCUUAUUUUCUUUUUUUUUUCUUUCCUUAAAUAUAAAUGUAUUGCAAACCCCAGGCUCUGCUGCCUUUGAUGUUUUAUCUUCAUUUGAUGGCAUUCACCUGCCAGCUCUGCAGUUUCAAUAUGCCAACUGCUUUUAUUCACCACUGAGACAAUUUCCAUUGAGAGACCUGAGGGGCUUUUAUUUAUCACUCAGCACAAAAAUUGAUCUUUUUCAACAGUGCUAAGGUAAUUCCUUCCCCACCCCCUAUUUUUUAUGCAUGUGAUAUGCACUCAGUAAUGUGCUUUCCUCCUAGUAAACUUCUGAGAAAAGUAGGUAGAUUUGCUUUUAUGUGACGUAUAACUGUAUCCAUAUUGCACUGAGAUAUGGAUAUAUAUACAUAGAGAGAGCCCCUUCGGGAUUUCAUUUUCUUAGAUGCAAAAUACGAGAUUUACCUCAAAGUGCAUGCUUUCAAAACUGACUAGGAUUUUGUGUUAUACUUUUCAGGUCUUACAAAGAUGCAGAUACUUUUCACUCUUCACACAAAAAUACCUUCAUCACAGAUUUUGCAAGCUGUUUACUACAAUCUGUGUACUACUGUCCAGUUUUCUGUCGGUUGUUCUGCUGGAUUAUGUGCAAUAAUAAACAGUUAUCUGCUCACUCUA